rnacentral:rRNA from 1 species
AACAGGAUUAGAUACCCUGGUAGUCCACGCCGUAAACGAUGUCGACUUGGAGGUUGUUCCCUUGAGGAGUGGCUUCCGGAGCUAACGCGUUAAGUCGACCGCCUGGGGAGUACGGCCGCAAGGUUAAAACUCAAAUGAAUUGACGGGGGCCCGCACAAGCGGUGGAGCAUGUGGUUUAAUUCGAUGCAACGCGAAGAACCUUACCUACUCUUGACAUCCAGAGAACUUAGCAGAGAUGCUUUGGUGCCUUCGGGAACUCUGAGACAGGUGCUGCAUGGCUGUCGUCAGCUCGUGUUGUGAAAUGUUGGGUUAAGUCCCGCAACGAGCGCAACCCUUAUCCUUUGUUGCCAGCGGUUCGGCCGGGAACUCAAAGGAGACUGCCAGUGAUAAACUGGAGGAAGGUGGGGAUGACGUCAAGUCAUCAUGGCCCUUACGAGUAGGGCUACACACGUGCUACAAUGGCGCAUGCAAAGAGAAGCGACCUCGCGAGAGCAAGCGGACCUCAUAAAGUGCGUCGUAGUCCGGAUCGGAGUCUGCAACUCGACUCCGUGAAGUCGGAAUCGCUAGUAAUCGUAGAUCAGAAUGCUACGGUGAAUACGUUCCCGGGCCUUGUACACACCGCCCGUCACACCAUGGGAGUGGGUUGCAAAAGAAGUAGGUAGCUUAACCUUCGGGAGGGCGCUUACCACUUUGUGAUUCAUGACUGGGGUGAAGUCGUAACAAGGUAACC